ensembl:lincRNA
GAGUUCCGGCAGAGAGCGCGGUGAAGAGCGGAGCGCGAAUCCCCUCCCCGGGCCCUCCGGCCUCUCGGCCCUCGGGUGGGUGAGCCGGGGGGCCCGGGGGUGGUGUGUGGUCCUUGCCCUGCAGAGACCCAGAGCCCUCGCCGCGAUUGCUCACUGGCCCGGACCAGGCCCUGAGGCAGCGGCGGAACCCUGCUCUCCCUUCCCCCAUGAUGUUCUGAAGGCAGCGGUGGCGGCCUCGCCCAGCCUGGGCCCCACCCGCGGCCAGAUUUCCUUGCCCAAAAUUGUCGGGCGGCGGCUUAAGCCCCCAGCGGGCCACCGAGGACGCGGCCCCUUUGGGCGGCGGGCGCGGCGGGGAGAGAAGAAUGGCGGCUACGAACGAACGCCACGGAGGGCCGUUAGGCACCUCCAGGGCCCAGAAGGCGCGCCUGCGUGGACUCAAGUUCGGCCACCUCUAUAGGCCGUGGAAGCGUGCAGAUCCGGGAUCUGAGGUGAUCGCUCAGUCCCGGUUGGACAACAUGCCGCUUGCCCCGACAACAACGGACAAAGGCCUUAACGGGCCUGGAAGGUGAGCGGAACCCUGGACAAUGGCGGGUGGAACGGUUAGCGGCCAUCGGGCGGCCAGUCAUCGUUCUACCCGAACUUGCUUGAUAUUUGAAGAGAGAAAUAGUAGAAUAACGUGCAACAUUUGGGCAACAAGAAGUGUCCACAACCCUUUGGGAAGAUUUACUGGCCAUUUACAGAAGGCCUGUGUAUAUAAUAUGAAAAAGCUGCUCUCAACUUUUCCCCCAACCUUUUAAAAGAAAACUUAUGCUACAUCUAGGCUUUCUAGAUGAAAAGAGGUUGCCGACGUAUGAUAAAGUAGAGUUAGAAAAUCACAUGUUUUGUAAUGAGCAUCUAUUUAAAAAAAAAAAUAGAAAAAUAUCUUCUGGAAAUGACUUGGAGAUGGAAUUUAGACUGCCUCUGGAAGCGACACCGGGAGCCACGUACAUCCAUGUUUUGUGGGUUAGAGGAGGUGAAGCAGAGAAGGCUGAGAAGAGGAUGAGAAGAUUCUUUGCCAGACUGGUCAUAUUUAGAAGAUAUUUUCAUAUUGUAACCAUUGUUCUUUAAUAGAAGCAUUUUUGACGUGGAAUUGUUAAACCACCUCUGAGCAGUAUGCACCAGGACUUGUUCAUUAAAUUGGCUGCAGAAGGGCAGGGGGAGGGGUAUAUGCAGAUGUGUUCAUAUUUCCAUUUGAAGCUAACAGUGUGUGAGCAUCUCUUGGCUAUACCAUAGGAAAACAUUGUUAAUUCAAUAGAAACAUAUGUUCUUGCUAAUAAUUCAAUAUAGAUCUGAUAAUGAAUUUUCUUAGAAGCAUUAUACUUAUUGUACUCUUGCUUUUGUCUCACUUUAACUUGAGCAUUAUUAAGGGAGCACAGUAUUUGUAAUUCUGCCAGUAUCUAUAGAGGCCUGUUGAUAUUUUUGUCCCCAAGAAAGGAAUACAUUUUUUUCCCGCUGAGAUGGUGUCAUAUAUUCUUGGUCAUCACAAUAUCUCAUGGCUUUGGGGCUGUGAGUUGGUAAAUAUUCAUGAUGUGUGAUAAAGCAUGAUACAUUCUGUGAGAUCUUGACUAGAUAAAAAUGUAUGCUCCGUUGUGUCUAUACACACACAGGACCUAAAGGUUAUGUCAAACUAAACUGCUUGUGAUUCUGGAUGACUUUUGUGUUCUUUGCUUCUUGUGCUUUUCAGUUUUCUAUAUUGCACAAUUAAAAGUUUGAAAAAAAUAAAUGUUACUUUAAAAACCUUCAAA